AUUGAACGCUGGCGGCGUGCUUAACACAUGCAAGUCGUGCGGUAACAGGCGUAGCAAUACGUGCUGACGAGCGGCGAACGGGUGCGUAAUACAUGGGAAUCUGCCCUUUAGUGGGGAAUAACCCGGCGAAAGCCGGGCUAAUGCCGCAUAAGAUCUUCGGAUGAAAGGCGGGGGAUCGUAAGACCUCGCGCUGAUGGACUGAGCCCAUGUCGGAUUUAGCGUUAGNGGUGAGGUAACGGCUCACCAAGGCGACGAUCCGUAGCUGGUCUGAGAGGACGGCCAGCCACACUGGGACUGAGACACGGCCCAGACU
rnacentral:rRNA from 1 species